rnacentral:rRNA from 1 species
UACAGAGGGUGCAAGCGUUAAUCGGAAUUACUGGGCGUAAAGCGUGCGCAGACGGUUGCGUAAGUCAGAUGUGAAAGCCCCGGGCUCAACCUGGGAAUUGCAUUUGAGACUGCGUAGCUAGGGUGCGGAAGAGGGAAGCGGAAUUUCCGGUGUAGCGGUGAAAUGCGUAGAUAUCGGAAGGAACACCAGUGGCGAAAGCGGCUCACUGGACCACAACUGGACGCUGAGGCGCGAAAAGCUAGGGGAGCAAACAGG